rnacentral:rRNA from 1 species
GACGAACGCUGGCGGCGUGCUUAACACAUGCAAGUCGAGCGGUAAGGCCCUUUCGGGGGUACACGAGCGGCGAACGGGUGAGUAACACGUGGGUGACCUGCCCUCAGCUCUGGGAUAAGCCUGGGAAACCGGGUCUAAUACUGGAUAUGACUCCAUGACGCAUGUUGUGGGGUGGAAAGCCUUGUGCGGCUGAGGAUGGGCCCGCGGCCUAUCAGCUUGUUGGNGGGUGAUGGCCUACCAAGGCGACGACGGGUAGCCGGCCUGAGAGGGCGACGGCCACACUGGGACUGAGACACGGCCCAGACUCCUACGGGAGGCAGCAGUGGGGAAUCUUGCGCAAUGGGCGAAAGCCUGACGCAGCGACGCCGCGUGA